rnacentral:RNase_P_RNA from 2 species
ACAGCUCGAAAGCUACGAGGCUCACUACGCACGAGAAGCGUCUUUGCGCGCCUCUUCACUUGUGAGCGGGCUAAGGUCUGAGUAUUUUAAUCCCCCUCGAUCGACUCUAGCCGGGUCCUGUCCUAAUGGGCAGCGCGACGUACCAGAAAAGCAGUGGCGAGUCGUCUGUGCUCCAUGACCACGUUCAUGUGGGAGAGCGACGGCAAUAGCUUACUUUGAAAGGCGUCGUGGGGAUCGGGUGGAUUUUUUCUCCCGUCGAACGUGGAUUUUAGUCACUCGACCGCGGUGUGAGCUCCCUGCAGCUGGGGCGGCCCUGCCGCCUGCUCACCCAAGGCACACGCCUUGUUACGCACUCCAGUCCUGCACUGGAUAUCGGUCGAUCACCGACCUUCCACUGUACGGGUGUGCUCGUACGCCGUAUGGGGAGUGACAACGGAUCCAUCGUUUGACCGGUCGAGUAAUUCCAUCCUUCAGUGCACUUCGUGGCUCGCAGUACCUCUGCGAAACUCGAUUCAGACUACUCUCGGGCUGU